GCUUACGGCCAUAUCAGCCUGGGUACGCCCGAUCUCGUCUGAUCUCGGAAGCUAAGCAGGGUCCGGCCUGGUUAGUACUUGGAUGGGAGACCGCCUGGGAAUACCAGGUGCUGUAAGCA
rnacentral:rRNA from 1 species